rnacentral:rRNA from 1 species
GUGGGGAAUUUUGGACAAUGGGCGAAAGCCUGAUCCAGCCAUGCCGCGUGCAGGAUGAAGGCCUUCGGGUUGUAAACUGCUUUUGUACGGAACGAAAAGACUCCUUCUAAUAAAGGGGGUCCAUGACGGUACCGUAAGAAUAAGCACCGGCUAACUACGUGCCAGCAGCCGCGGUAAUACGUAGGGUGCAAGCGUUAAUCGGAAUUACUGGGCGUAAAGCGUGCGCAGGCGGUUAUAUAAGACAGAUGUGAAAUCCCCGGGCUCAACCUGGGAACUGCAUUUGUGACUGUAUAGCUAGAGUACGGUAGAGGGGGAUGGAAUUCCGCGUGUAGCAGUGAAAUGCGUAGAUAUGCGGAGGAACACCGAUGGCGAAGGCAAUCCCCUGGACCUGUACUGACGCUCAUGCACGAAAGCGUGUGGAGCAAACAGGAUUAGAAACCCGGGUAGUCC